UGGUCAGCAGUGGCUGGGAGAAGGAAGAAGGCCCAGAAAGUCUGAGUUGAGUUUAUGAAAGUUUUCCACUAAAGUCAGCAACAGCUUAAAUUCAAACCAGGCCCAAGCCGUUCAGUCUCCAUAUGAGUUGUUCAUCAAAGGACCAAAGAGAAGAAAUCUGAGCCUGGAGCAGAGGCUGGCUUAAAGGCUUCCAAGUGAUUCCUUCUGGUUUACCAUGACAUUUGCCAUUAAAACCAAGAUGUGAACGGAGGUCAGAUAUAUAAUCUCAGCCCUUGUGUGGUAAGAAUGGGAAGGACAAGAGAUCAAGGCCAUCCUCAACUAGUUCGUGACUUUCUCCUCUCCAGAGCCAGUCAUCUCAUGGCAAGAAAGCUCCAGUCCUGUUAGGACAACACUAGACAUUAGCAAGAAGAAAGAAAGACACAUUAAAGAAGUGCCACUCCAGGUUCUGCAGGUGAGGGUCACACCUCUGCCACUGCUGAUGUGACUUUCUAAGGAAAACCUCACCGACUUUAUGUGAAGUUUCUUGAUCCUCUUAGACUUGAGCUUUCUACAAAGA